rnacentral:lncRNA from 1 species
ACGUGAUCACAGUGGUAAGAUUUUAGUAAUUUUUUCAGGGCUUUUGUGUAUUUUGGAGUCGAAAGAAGCUGAAUUGAGGCCAAUUAUAUUGGCUCUUGAAAAUGCACAAAAAACUCAUUGUGGAAUCAGAUUCUAAGGUGGUGAUUUUGUGGUGUACAAGUACUAAAAGAGACCAUGCAAAUAUUGAGAUUGUUUUAAAUUGAUAGAAAAAUUUUGUACGAGUUUGAAUGUAAUUGUUUU